AUGGCUCCGGCGAUGGGGCUCAAGCGGCCGGCGGCGGCGGCGGCGACGGCCACGCAGACCAUCACGCUGCCCCCGCAGGGGGUUGCCGUGAGGGACGCGGUGCGCGGCGCCGUCAGGGACGCCGAGCUGCCCCCGAGGGCGCCGGCGAUGUCGGCGCCCGCGCCCGCAGCCGCCGUGGACGGGGUCCUGUGCUUCGAGGAGGUGGAGGGCAGGCGGUGGAGCUACGUCGUCGAGGGCGCCGCGUCCUCCGCCGGGAAGACGGGGAGGGUCAGCGCCAGGGCCAGGGGCGGCUCCGCCGCGCCGGUGGGGGCCACCUUCAGGGCCGUGCCGCUCCAGUCUCCGCUGCCGCCCGCCGAGGAAAUUAUGUCCUUCAUAAGGUCAUAUGUUGUGCCUGAAGGUUUUCCAGACAGCGUGACUCCUUCAUAUGUUCCAUACAUGACAUGGAGGGCACUGAAGCAUUUCUUUGGCGGCGCAAUGAGUGUAUUUACAACAAGAGCCUUGUUAAACUCCGUAGGAGUCUCACAAAGCAGGGCUACGUCUGGUGCUGUGGCUAUUAACUGGAUACUCAAGGAUGGUGCUGGGCGUGUCGGAAAAAUGCUUUUCGCGCGUCAAGGGAAGAAAUUCGAUUAUGACCUAAAGCAGCUCCGCUUUUCUGGGGAUCUCAUGAUGGAACUAGGAGCUGGGAUAGAGUUAGCUACUGCUGCGUUCCCUCAACUUUUCCUACCGUUGGCUUGCAUGGCAAACGUUGUCAAGAAUGUUGCUGCUGUUACGUCGACCUCAACCCGCACACCGAUUUACAAGGCAUAUGCAAAAGGAGAAAAUAUUGGAGAUGUUACUGCUAAAGGAGAAAGUGUUGGGAACAUUGCUGAUCUGUUGGGUACUGGUAUGAGCAUUCUAAUGUCCAAGAGGAAUCCAUCAUUGGUGGCUUCAUUUGCAGUCUUGUCUUGUGGAUAUCUGCUUAGUUCAUAUCAGGAGGUGAGAUCUGUUGUGCUGAACACGCUAAAUACGGCAAGAUUCACUGUGGCAGUGGAUUCCUUCAUAAAGACUGGGCAUGUUCCUUCAUUGAAGGAAGGGAACUUAGAGGAGACUAUAUUUAAUCCGCCUUGGAGGCAUCAACCUGUGGCCAUAGGAUCAAGAUUUGGAGAGGCAUUUCAGGAACCUGCUUCAUUUGUUGCUACAAGGCCUUUGUUUGAGGAUGAGAGGUACAUCGUUACAUAUAACCCUGCAAAGGACAAGGUUUAUGCUUUGCUCAAGGACCAAGCAAAGCAAGAUGACAUUCUCAAAGCUGCCUUCCACGCACAUGUGUUGCUGCAUUUUAUUAAUGCAUCACAUGCUAAUCUGAAAGCACGGAAGCGCAUGAACUCUGAUCAGGGGUCAUACCACUAUGUGAACCCAAACCCAUUGAACAUGGACUUCCUAGCACACAUUGAAGAAUCUUGCAAGAUUGUUACAUCGUCGUAUGGAGUAUUCAAGAGGAAAGCAAGAGAACAGGGAUGGAUAAUGUCUGACUCGCUACUGAACCCGGGCCGUGCUCGGCUGUGUGGAGUAGCACCACAGUGA
rnacentral:rRNA from 1 species